GACGUAGCUCAGUUUGGUAGAGCACCUGGUUUGGGACCAGGGGGUCGCAGGUUCGAAUCCUGUCGUC
rnacentral:tRNA from 2 species